UACAGAGGUCUCAAGCGUUGUUCGGAUUUAUUGGGUUUAAAGGGUGCGUAGGCGGGCCUUUAAGUCAGUGGUGAAAGCCGACAGCUUAACUGUCGAAAUGCCAUUGAUACUGGGGGUCUUGAGUACAGUAGAGGUAGGCGGAAUUAAUGGUGUAGCGGUGAAAUGCAUAGAUACCAUUAAGAACACCGAUUGCGAAGGCAGCUUACUAUAGUGUAACUGACGCUGAGGCACGAAAGUGUGGGGAUCAAACAGG
rnacentral:rRNA from 1 species